rnacentral:rRNA from 1 species
AUUGAACGCUGGCGGCAUGCCUUACACAUGCAAGUCGAACGGUAGAGUAGCAAUACUUGAGAGUGGCGAACGGGUGAGUAAUGCAUCGGAACAUGCCCAGUCGUGGGGGAUAACGUAGCGAAAGUUACGCUAAUACCGCAUACGAUCUACGGAUGAAAGCGGGGGACUCGCAAGAGCCUCGCGCGAUUGGAGUGGCCGAUGUCAGAUUAGGUAGUUGGUGGGGUAAAAGCCCACCAAGCCAACGAUCUGUAGCUGGGCUGAGAGGACGACCAGCAACACUGGGACUGGGACACGGCCCAGACUCCUACGGGAGGCAGCAGUGGGGAAUUUUGGACAAUGGACGAAAGUCUGAUCCAGCAAUGCCGCGUGCAGGACGAAGGCCUUCGGGUUGUAAACUGCUUUUGUACGGAGCGAAAAGCUUUGGAUUAAUACUCCGAGGUCAUGACGGUACCGUAAGAAUAAGCACCGGCUAACUACGUGCCAGCCGCCGCCGUAA